UACGGAGGGUGCGAGCGUUGUCCGGAAUCACUGGGCGUAAAGGGUGCGUAGGCGGUCCGGUAAGUCCGCUGUGAAAGUCGGGGGCUCAACCCUCGAAUGCCGGUGGAUACUGUCGGGCUAGAGUGCGGAAGAGGCGAGUGGAAUUCCUGGUGUAGCGGUGAAAUGCGCAGAUAUCAGGAGGAACACCAAUUGCGAAGGCAGCUCGCUGGGACGUAACUGACGCUGAGACGCGAAAGCGUGGGGAGCAAACAGG
rnacentral:rRNA from 1 species